GGGCUUUCAAGUUACUAGUGAUUCCGUUUAGUAGAUGGCUGUGCAUUGUUUCAAAAUGGCCCCCUAGUGACUACAAAGCCC
rnacentral:pre_miRNA from 10 species